rnacentral:rRNA from 1 species
GACGAACGCUGGCGGCGUGCUUAACACAUGCAAGUCGAACGGUGAAGCGCUUGCCUUUUUGGUGGGUGUGGAUGAGUGGCGAACGGGUGAGUAACACGUGAGUAACCUGCCCUCUUCUUCUGGAUAACCUCAUGAAAGUGGGGCUAAUACGGGGUAUUCCGGGUCUGUCGCAUGGCGGGUUUGGGAAAGAUUGCGCCUUUGGGUGUUUUCGGUGGGGGAUGGGCUCGCGGCCUAUCAGCUGGUUGGUGGGGUGAUGGCCUACCAAGGCGGUGACGGGUAGCCGGCCUGAGAGGGUGGACGGCCAGACUGGGACUGAGACACGGCCCAGACUCCUGCGGGAGGCAGCAGUGGGGAAUAUUGCACAAUGGGCGCAAGCCUGAUGCAGCGACGCCGCGUGAGGGAUGGAGGCCUUCGGGUUGUGAACCUCUUUCGCCAGUGAAGCAGGCCUGCUCCUGUGUGGGUGGGUUGACGGUAGCUGGAUAAGAAGCGCCGGCUAACUACGUG